AAGAAAAGCUUGGAAACAGCCGAUAGCCUUUUAUUUUUCUGGAGCCUGCGUUACAGCCGACAGAUUAGCUGUACUCAUCAAGGAGGUCUUAAGUGCUUGUUUUGGUGCUGGAUUGGAAGUAAUUGGCGUCGUAUGUGAUUUGGAUGGCGUCAAUUUACGGGCAAUAAACUGCUUAGGAUCAUCGACAGAUCAACCAUUCUUUUACCACGAGGGACAUGAAAUUGUGACUAUCUUGGACCCACCCCACCUUCUAAAAUGCUUUAGAAAUAAUUUUUUAAAGCAUAAUAUACAAUUUUUACAAGAUGUCCAAAUAGAAGGUCAACAAAGUUUAGGCGUAGCUAAAUGGAGCCAUAUAGAAGAAUUCUAUAA